rnacentral:rRNA from 1 species
CCUACGGGAGGCAGCAGUAAGGAAUAUUGGUCAAUGGACGAAAGUCUGAACCAGCCAUGCCGCGUGAAGGAUUAAGGCCCUCUGGGUUGUAAACUUCUUUUAUCUGGGACGAAAAAAGGGUAUUCUUACUCACUUGACGGUACCAGAGGAAUAAGCACCGGCUAACUCCGUGCCAGCAGCCGCGGUAAUACGGAGGGUGCAAGCGUUAUCCGGAUUUACUGGGUUUAAAGGGUGCGUAGGUGGGCUUGUAAGUCAGUGGUGAAAUCUCCGGGCUUAACCCGGAAACUGCCAUUGAUACUAUAGGUCUUGAAUUAUCUGGAGGUAAGCGGAAUAUGUCAUGUAGCGGUGAAAUGCUUAGAUAUGACAUAGAACACCAAUUGCGAAGGCAGCUUACUACGGAUAUAUUGACACUGAGGCACGAAAGCGUGGGGAUCAAACAGGAUUAGAUACCCUGGUAGUCCACGCCCUAAACGAUGGAUACUCGACAUCAGCGAUACACUGUUGGUGUCUGAGCGAAAGCAUUAAGUAUCCACCUGGAAGUACGAUCGCAAGAUUGAAACUCAAAGGAAAUUGACGG